rnacentral:lncRNA from 1 species
UGCUGCAAAUACUUGAGAAUCUGAAAUGUAGUGGAGCUAUCAAGCCCAGUUGAAAUGUCAUCCAUGAAAAAACAUUGUGCUGGUGCCGCUAGCAUUUCUCCUGCAAGACAAAGUAUGUGGGUACCAUUUUUUAGUCCAUUGGUUCAUCCACAAUAGUUUUAUGCUAGCUAAUCGAGAGUUGCUUUGUCUAAGAGCAUGUUACCAAGGGGAGGGAUACAAGAUCAACCAUGUGUUUCCUACCUAUGGUGACUCUUUUCUUUUGUCCUCCAGAUAUUCCCCUUCUCAUUUCAUCACCUAUUAGUGUGUCGGCGCACUC